rnacentral:rRNA from 1 species
AGACAGCAGUCGCCGCGGUAAUACGUAGGUGGCAAGCGUUGUCCGGAAUUAUUGGGCGUAAAGCGCGCGCAGGCGGAUAGGUCAGUCUGUCUUAAAAGUUCGGGGCUUAACCCCGUGAUGGGAUGGAAACUGCCAAUCUAGAGUAUCGGAGAGGAAAGUGGAAUUCCUAGUGUAGCGGUGAAAUGCGUAGAUAUUAGGAAGAACACCAGUGGCGAAGGCGACUUUCUGGACGAAAACUGACGCUGAGGCGCGAAAGCCAGGGGAGCGAACGGGAUUAGAUACCCCCGUAGUCCCUGUCUCUUAUACC